rnacentral:rRNA from 1 species
AACGAACGCUGGCGGCAGGCUUAACACAUGCAAGUCGAACGCUCCGCAAGGAGAGUGGCAGACGGGUGAGUAACGCGUGGGAACGUGCCUUUUGGUUCGGAACAACUUCGGGAAACUGGAGCUAAUACCGAAUGUGCCCUUCGGGGGAAAGAUUUAUCGCCAAAAGAUCGGCCCGCGUCAGAUUAGCUAGUUGGUGGGGUAAUGGCCUACCAAGGCGACGAUCUGUAGCUGGUCUGAGAGGAUGAUCAGCCACACUGGGACUGAGACACGGCCCAGACUCCUACGGGAGGCAGCAGUGGGGAAUCUUGGACAAUGGGCGCAAGCCUGAUCCAGCCAUGCCGCGUGAAUGAUGAAGGCCUUAGGGUUGUAAAAUUCUUUCGUCGGGGACGAUAAUGACGGUACCCGAAGAAGAAGCUCCGGCUAACUUCGUGCCAGCAGCCGCGGU